UUUGUAUUUUCAUCCUCUUUUUUUUCCGGUUUGUUUUUCAAAUUUCAUUUGCUUAAAAUCAAUCGUAUGAAUACGAUAUUAUGAACUCAACGAGUUUAUGUUAUUUACAUUUGUUUACAUUGUAUUGCCGCUACAGUUUCUUAGAAUAUAAUAACAAAAAGAGAAACAAUCGAAACACACAGAAGAUGUUGUUGUGUAUCGCAACACGAAAAAGCCGAAAAAGUGGUUCACAUUAUGCCUAUAUUCUACCUUCCAUUUGACACGAAAAUUGCCACAAAAAUGGGUUAAAGCGUUACAUUUUUUAACGUUAAAAUGUCCUAAAAACGUUACAUAUUUGUCCGUUGGGAAAUUAAUCGCAGUAAAAAGUGCAGUUAUAUAUAAACUAUAGUUUAUAGUAUCAAGAUGUAAGGUUUUUAAGAUGUUUGGUUGAAAUGAUAGCUCAUUUCCAGUCAAAGAAAUAACCACACCAGUGUAAAUCAAGUCACUUCAAUCCAAUAUGUCACAUUUAGAUGUUUUAUGACAUAGGCUACUUAAUAACAGUGUCAAAAAAGUUUUAUGAUAACGCUCCAAUUUAACUAACCUGCUUUAAUAACGAUUCUGCAAAACACGUUUUUUUCAAUUUGUGCUCAAAUUAAAAGUGUUUAAUUCAAUUUUGGAACUCAUAUCAGUAUUAGUUUAUAUCCUCCCAAAAUAAACAGAGUUGUUAUUGGCACCGAAGAAAGUAUGAACAUUUAUUGAAUAGUUCAUUAAUCAGUUUGGUCGCAAUUUCUGCAAAUCCAGAAAAUGCAACCAGUUUAGUAUCGAAUGGAUCACAACGGGCAACGGUUCCAACAAUUUUGAAAACUGUUCACAACGGAAGCGGUACAACACUUGUAAACAUGACAAAUACUGAACUAUUGUGUAAGUGAAUAUGAUGAUUUUUUUAUUAUAUUAUAAGAGGUGUAAUGCGCUCAAUAAGCGUAAUGCUUUGUUUGCCGAACUUCGUAUAGACAGUGCCAUCUAUAUAUAGAAUGGGAUAUUAUUUCACAAGUUUGAGAAUGAGCGCAUAUGUUAUUCCAAAAAUUGUUGAAAAAUAAUUUAAUAAAUUGUUUCAUUUUUUUGUUUUGAAAGUGAAGUUAGCACAAUUA